CAGUGGGGAAUUUUGGACAAUGGGGGCAACCCUGAUCCAGCAAUGCCGCGUGAGUGAUGAAGGCCUUAGGGUUGUAAAGCUCUUUUGCCAGGGAAGAUGAUGACUGUACCUGGAGAAUAAGCACCGGCUAACUACGUGCCAGCAGCCGCGGUAAUACGUAGGGUGCGAGCGUUAAUCGGAAUUACUGGGCGUAAAGCGUGCGCAGGCGGAUUGUUAAGCAAGAUGUGAAAUCCCCGGGCUUAACCUGGGAAUGGCAUUUUGAACUGGCAGUCUAGAGUGUGUCAGAGGGGGGUGGAAUUCCACGUGUAGCAGUGAAAUGCGUAGAGAUGUGGAGGAACACCGAUGGCGAAGGCAGCCCCCUGGGAUAACACUGACGCUCAUGUACGAAAGCGUGGGUAGCAAACA
rnacentral:rRNA from 1 species